rnacentral:rRNA from 1 species
GGUUAAGUCCCGCAACGAGCGCAACCCUUGAUUUUAGUUGCCAGCAUUUAGUUGGGCACUCUAAAGUGACUGCCGGUGCAAGCCGGAGGAAGGUGGGGAUGACGUCAAAUCAUCAUGCCCCUUAUGACCUGGGCUACACACGUGCUACAAUGGAUAGUACAAAGGGUCGCGAAGCCGCGAGGUGGAGCUAAUCCCAUAAAACUAUUCUCAGUUCGGAUUGUAGGCUGCAACUCGCCUACAUGAAGCCGGAAUCGCUAGUAAUCGUGGAUCAGCAUGCCACGGUGAAUACGUUCCCGGGCCUUGUACACACCGCCCGUCACACCACGAGAGUUUGUAACACCCGAAGUCGGUAGGGUAACCUUUAUGGAGCCAGCCGCCGAAGGUGGGACAGAUAAUUGGGGUGAAGUCGUAACAAGGUAGCCGUAUCGGAAGGUGCGGCUGGAUCACCUCCUUU